CAACGUUAACAAGAACCAAAACCGAAACAACAUUAGACUACACAGUUGCGCCCUAACUGUAUAACUUUACAACGAGUACUUUUUCUCAUUCAAUCAAACAAAGAGUAAAACCUAAUUGUAUUGUUUUAUUAUGCCCCGAGAGUGUAAUAUUGGAACAAAUCGAUGUCAACGUUCACAAGAACCAAAACCGGAACAACAUUAAACUACUCGGUUGCGCCAUAAUAGUAUAAAUUUGCAACGAAUACUUUUUCUUAUUCUAUCGAACAAAGAGUAAAAGCUAAUUAUAUUGUUCUAUUAUGCCCCGAGAGUGUAAAUUUCGAACGAAUCGUUGUCAACGUUCACAAGAACCAAAACUUGAACAAUAUUAGACUACUCAGUUGCGCCCUAACAGCAUAAAUUUGCAACGAGUUUUUUUUCUCAUUCUAUCGAACAAAGAGUAAAAACUAAUUAUAUUGUUUUAUUAUGCCCUGAGAGUGUAAAUUUCAAACGAAUCGAUGUCAACGUUCACAAGAACCAAAACGGAAACAACAUUAGACUACUAAGUUGCGCCAUAACAGUAUAACUUUGCAACAAGUACUUUUUCUAAUUCAAUCGAACAAAGAGUAAAACCUAAUUACCUUGUUCUAUUAUGCCCCGAGACUGUAAAUUUCGAACGAAUCGAUGUCAACGUUCACAAGAACCAAAACCGGAACAACAUUAGACUACUCAGUUGCGCCCUAACAAUAUAACUUUGCAACGAGUACUUUUUCUCAUUCAAACAAACAAAAAGUAAAAACCUAAUUAUAUUGUUCUAUUAUGCCCCGAGAGUGUAAUAGUAGAACGAAACGAUGUCAAAGUUCACAAGAACCAAAAUCGGAACAACAUUAGACUACUCGGUUGCGUCCUAACAGUAUAACUUUGCAACAAGUACUUUUUCUCACUCUUUCGAACAAAGUGUAAAACCUAAUUAUAUUGUUCUAUUAUGCCCCGAGAAUGUAAAUUUCGAAUGAAUCGAUGUCAACGUUAACAAGAACCAAAACCGAAACAACAUUAGAAUACACAGUUGCGCCCUAACUGUAUAACUUUGCAACGAGUACUUUUUCUCAUUCAAUCAAACAAAGAGUAAAACCUAAUUGUAUUAUUCUAUUAUGCCCCGAGAGUGUAAUAUUGGAACGAAUCGAAGUCAACGUUCACAAGAACCAAAACCGGAACAACAUUAAACUACUCGGUUGCGCCCUAACAGUAUAAAUUUGCAACGAGUACUUUUUCUUAUUCUAUCGAACAAAGAGUAAAAGCUAAUUAUAUUGUUCUAUUAUGCCCCGAGAGUGUAAAUUUCGAACGAAUCGUUGUCAAUGUUCACAAGAACCAAAACCGGAACAACAUUAGACUACUCAGUUGCACCCUAACAGUAUAAAUUUGCAACGAGUUCUUUUUAUCAAUCUAUCGAACAAAGAGGAAAAACUAAUUAUAUUGUUCUAUUAUGCCCUGAGAGUGUAAAUUUCAAACGAAUCGAUGUCAACGUUCACAAGAACCAAAACCGAAACAACAUUAGACUACUAAGUUGCGCCUUAACAGUAUAACUUUGCAACGAGUACUUUUUCUCAUUCAAUCGAACAAAGAGUAAAACCUAAUUACCUUGUUCUAUUAUGCCCCGAGACUGUAAAUUUCGAACGAAUCGAUGUCAACGUUCACAUGAACCAAAAUCGGAACAACAUUAGACUACUUAGUCGCGCCCUGACAAUAUAACUUUGCAACGAGUACUUUUUCUCAUUCAAACAAACAAAGAGUAAAAACCUAAUUAUAUUGUUCUAUUUUACCCAGAGAGUGUAAUAGUGGAACGAAACGAUGUCUACGUUCACAAGAACCAAAAUCGGAACAACAUUAGACUACUCAGUAGCGGCCUAACAGUAUAAAUUUGCAACGAAUACUUUUUCUCAUUCUAUCGAAGAAAACGUAAAACCUAAUUAUAUUGUUCUAUUAUGCCCUGAGAGUGUAAUGUUGGAACGAAUCGUUGUCAACGUUCACAAGAAGCAAAAUCGGAACAACAUUAGACUACUUAGUUUCGCCCUAACAGUAUAAAUUUGCAACGAGUUCUUUUUCUCAUUUAAUCAAACAAAGAGUAAAACCUAAUUAUAUUGUUCUAUUAUGCCCUGAGAGUGUAAUGUUGGAACGAAUCGUUGUCAACGUUCACAAGAACCAAAACCGGAACAACAUUAAACUACUCAGUUUCGCCCUAACAAUAUAAAUUUGCAUCGAGUACUUUUUCUCAUUUAAUCAAAAAAAAGUAAAACCUAAUUAUAUUGUUCUAAUAUACCCCGAGAGUGUAAUGUUGGAAGGAAUCGAUGUCAACGUUCACAAGAAUCAAAACCGAAACAACAUUAGACUACUCACUUGCGCCCUAAUAUUAUAACUUUGCAACGAGUACUUUUUCUCAUUCAAUCAAACAAAGAGUAAAUCCUAAUUAUAUUGUUCUAUUAUGCCCCGAGAGUGUAAUGUUGGAAGGAAUCGAUGUCAACGUUCACUAGAACCAAAACCGGAACUGCAUUAGACAACUCACUUGCGCCGUAACAGUAUAAAUUUGCAACGAGUGCUUUUUCUCAUUCUAUCGAACAAAGAGUAAAAGCUAAUUAUAUUUUUCUAUUAUGAUGCCCCGAGAGUGUAAAUUUCGAACGAAUUGAUGUCAACGUUCACAAGAACCAUAACCGAAACAACAUUAGACUACGCAGUUGCGCCCUAACUGUAUAACUAUGCAACGAGUACUUUUUCUCAUUCAAUCAAACAAAGAAUAAAAGCUAAUUAUAUUGUUGUAUUAUGCCCCGAGUGCGUAAAUUUUCGACAAAUCGAUGUCAAUGUUCAUAAGAACCAAAACCGGAACAACAUUAGGCUACUCAGUUGCGCCCUAACAGUAUAAAUUGGCAACGAGGGCUUUUUCUCAUUCUAUCGAACGAAGAGUAAAAAAUGUGUCGGUUCUAUUAUGCCCCGAGAGGGUAAAUUAGAUGUCCACAUUCACAAGAACGAAAACCGGAACAACAUUAAGCUACUCAAUUGCGGCCAAACAGCAUAAAUUUGGAACGAGUAAUUUUUCUCAUUCAAUCGAACAAAGAGUAAUACCUAAUUAAAAUGUUCUAUUAUGCCCCGAGAGGGUAAAUUAGAUAUCCACGUUCACAAGAACGAAAACCGGAACAACAUUAGACUACUCAAUUGCGCCCUAACAGUAUAAAUUUGCAACGUGUACUUUUUCUCAUUCAUUCAAACAAAGAGUAAAACCUAAUUAAAAUGUUCUAUUAUGCCCUGAGAGGGUAAAUUAGAUGUCCACGUUCACAAAACGAGAACCGGAACAACAUUAGGCUACUCAAUUGCGCCCUAACAUUAUAAAUUUGCAACGAGUACUUUUUCUCAUUCAAGCGAAUAAAGAGCAAAACCUAAUUAAAAUAUUCUAUUAUGCCCCGGGGAGGUAAAUUAGAUGUCCACGUUCACAAGAACGAAAACCGGAACAACAUUAAGCUACUCAAUUGCGGCCAAACAGUAUAAAUUUGGAACGAGUACUUUUUCUCAUUCAACCGAAUAAAGAGUAAUACCUAAUUAAAAUGUUAUAUUAUGCCCCGAGAGGGUAAAUUAGAUAUCCACUGUCACGCCCCGAGACCGAUACCAAUUUGGUCCGGCCCGGGCGCGUCGAACAGACGCCGAACGGACAGGACCUACCCCGUCCGCCCAAGGCUAACCAACGGAUCAUGUAUAAGAAUUUACCCAGAAAUCAAUUCAUAAAUACACGA
rnacentral:lncRNA from 1 species